rnacentral:lncRNA from 1 species
GUUGUCUUGGAUCAUUACUGAAGGUUGAGCACUGUACCAGCAGGUAUCUUGGAUCAUCUCAGAGGUGUGAGCAUUGCACCAGGAGGUGUCUUGGAUCAUUCCUGAGGUAGGAUCACUGCAUCCGGAAGUGCCUUGAAUCAUCCCUGAGGUGUGAGCACUGUAACAGAAGGUGUCUUGGAUUCUCCAUGAGGUGUGAGUCCUGCACCAGCAGGCAUCUUGAAUCAUCAGAAGAAAGAGCACUGCACCAAGAGGUGUCUUGGAUCAUCCCUGAGAUGUGAACAUUGCCCCUGCAAGUCUCAUCAUGCCUGAGGUGUGACCCAUGCACCAGGAGAUCUCUUGUAUUGACGCUAAGGUGGGAUCACUACACCAUGAGGUGUCUUGGAUCAAACCCGUGGUGCAGGCACUACACAAGGAAGUCUCUUGAAUCAUCCCUGAGGUGGCAGCACUACACUAGAGGGUGUCUUGGAUCAUCCCUCAGGUGUGAACACUGCACAAGGAAGUGCCUUAAAUCAUGCCUGAGGUGUCAGCACUGCACCAGGAGGUGUCUUGCAUUAUUCCUAAGGUCAGAGCACUGCAUCGCAAUGUCUUGGAUUGUGCCUGAUCAUGUGUGACCAGCAAGUGUCUUAACUCAUCCCUGAGGAGGGAGUACUAUAACAGGGGUAUCUUGGAUCAUGCCUGAAGUGUUAGCAUGCACCAGGAGGUGUCUUGAAUCAUCCCUGAGGUGGGAGCACUGCACCAGGAGGUGUCUUGGAUCAUCCCUGUGGGUUGAGCACUACACCAGGAGGUGCUUUGGAUCAUCCCUUACGUGUGUGCACUGCACCAGGAAGUGUCUUGUAUUAUGACUGAGUGUGAACACUACACCAAGUGGUUUUGGGGAUCAUUCCUAGGUGUGACCACCACACCAGGAGGUAUCACGGAUCAUGCCAGAGUUGUAAGCACUGCAUCAGGAGAUGUUUUGGAUUAUCCCUGAGGUGUGAGCUCUGGACCAGGAGGUGUCUUGGAUCAUGCCUGAGUGUGAGCACUGCACCACGUGGUUUUUUUGGAUCAUCCGUAGGUGUGAGCACUGCACCAGGAAGUAUCUUGGAUCAUGUCUGAGUUGUGAUCACUGCACCAGGAGGUGCCUUAAAUCAUGUCUGAGUUGUGAGCACUGCACCAAGAGGUAUUUUGGAGCAUCCGUGAGGUGUGAGCACUGUACCAGGAGGUGUUUUGGAACAUCCCUGAGGUGUGAACACUGCACCAGGAAAUGUCUGGGAUCAUCCCUGAGUGUGAGCACUGCACCAGGAGGUGUUUGGGGUCAUCCAUAAGGUGUGAGCACCACACCAGGAGGCUUGUUGUAUUAUGGCUGAGUGUGAGCACUGCACCAGGAGGUAUAUUGAAUCAUGCCUAAGUUGUGAGCACUGGACCAGGAGGUGUUUUGGAUCAUCCCUGAGGUGUGAGCACUGGACCAGGAGGUCACCUGGAUCAUCCCUGAGUUGUGAGCCUGCACCAGGUGGUUUUUUGGAUCAUACCUAGGUGUGAGCACUGCACCAGGAAGUAUCGCUGAUCAUGUCUGAGUUGUGAUCACUCACCAGGAGGUAUUUUGAAUCAUGCCUGAGUUGUGAGCCCUGCAUCAUGAGGUGUUUUGGAUCAUCCCUGAGGUGCGAGCACUGCACCAGGGGGUGUCUUGGAUCAUCCCUGAGGUGUGAGCACUGCACCAGGAGAUGUCUUGGAUCAUCCCUGAGGUGUAAGCACUGCACAAAGGACUGUCUUGUAUUAUUCCUGAGUGCAAACGCUGCACCAGGUGUCUUUUUGGAUCAUUCCUAGGUGUGACCACUGCACCAGGAGGUAUCUCAAGUCAUGCCAGAGAUGUGAGCACUGCAUUAGAAGAUGUUUUGGAUCGUCCCUAAGGUGUGAGCAUGGGACCAGGAGGUCUCUUGGAUCAUCUCUGAGUUGAAAGCACUGUUCCAAGAGGUGUCUUGGAUCAUGCCUGAGUGUGAGCACUGCACCACGUGGUUUUUUGGAUCAUCCCUAGGUGUGAGCACUGCACCAGGAGGUAUCUUGGAUCAUGUCUGAGUUGUGAUCACUGCACCAGGAGAUGUCUUAAAUCAUAUCUGAGUUGUGAGCACUGCUUUGGAGCAUCCCUGAGGUGUGAGCACUGCACGAGGUGGUGUCUUGGAUCAUGCCUGAGUUGUGACCACUGCACCAGGGGGUGUUUUGGAACAUCCUGAGGAGUGAGCACUGCACCAGGUGGUGUCUUGGAUCAUCCCUGUAGUGUGAAAACUGCACAAGGAGGUAUUUUCCAUCAUCCCUAAGGUGGGAGCACUACACCAGGAGGUGUGUUGGAUCAUGCUUGAGGUGUGAACAUUGCACCCAGAAGUGUCUUAUGUCAUGCCUGCAGUGUGAGCACUGCACCAGGAUGUCUAGGAUCAUCCCUGAAUUGUGAGCACUGAACCAGGAGGUGUCUUGAUUCAUCCCUGAGGUGUGAGCACCUCACCAGGAGGUAUCUUGGAUCAUCCCUGAGAUGUGAACACCUCACCAGGAAGUGUCUUGGAUCAUGUCUGAGUUGUGAGCACUGCACCAGGAGGUGUCUUAAAUCAUCUCUGAGGUUUGAGCACUACACCAGGAGGUGUCUUAAAUCAUGCUGAAAAGUGACCACUGCACCAGGAGGCAUCUUGGAUCAUGUCUCAGUUGCAACAGGAGGUGUCUUGGAUCAUCCCUGUGGUAUAAGCACUGCACCAGAAGGUGUCUUGGAUCAACCCUGGGAUGGAGGCAGUGCACCAGAAGGUGUCUUGGAUCAACCCUGGGAUGGAGGCAGUGCACCAGAAGGUGUCUUGGAUCAUCCCUGAUGUGGGAGCACUGCAUCAGGAGAUCUCUUGGAUCAUCGCUGAGGUGUGAGCACUGCACCAGGAGGUAUCUGGAAUGAUUUUUGAGGAGAGUGUAGUGCACGAGGAGGUAUCUUGGAUCUACCCUGAGGUGUGAGCACUGCAACAGGAAGUGUCUUGGAUCAUCCCUGAGGUGUGAGCACUGCAACAGGAUGUGUCCUCAAUCAUCCAUGAGGGGGGAUCACUGCACCAGGAGGUGUCUUGUAUCAUUGCUGAGGUGGAAGCACUGCACAAGGAAGUGUCUUAGAUCANNNNNNNNNNAGGACUGUCUUGAUAACUUCUGAGUGUGACCUUGUACCAGGAGGUGUCCUGUAUCAUCCCUGUGGAGGGAGCACUGCACCAGAAGGUGUAUUGGAUCAUCACUGAAGUGUGAACACUACAUCAAAAGGCAUCACGAAUCAUCCCUAAGGCUUGAGCACUGUACCAGGAGGUGUCUUUGAUCAUGCCUGAGAUGUAAGCACUGCACUAGGAGGUGUUUUGGAUCAUCCCUAGGUGGGAGCACUACACCAAGAGGAGUCUUGGAUCAUCUUUGAGGUGGGAGUACCACACCACGAGGUGUCUUGGAUCAUCCCUGAGGUGGAAGCACUGCACCAGGAGUUGUCUUGGAUCAUUCCUGAGGUGUGAGUACUGCACCAGGAGGUAUCUUGUAUCAUCCCCGAGGUCAGAGCACUACACCAGGAGAUGUUUGGAUCAAACCUGACAUGUAGGCACCGCACCAGAAGGUCUCUUGGAUGAUGCCUGAAUUGUCAGCACUGCACCAGGAAGUGUAUUUUAUCAUCCUUGAGGUCAGAACACUGCACCAGCAAGUGUCUUGGAUUCUGCCUAAGGUGUGAGCACUGCACAAGCAGUUGUCUUGGCUCAUCCCUAAGAAGGGAGUACUGCGCCAGGGGGUGUCUUGGAUUAUGCCUGAGUUGUGAGCACUGUAUCAGGAGGUGUCUUGGAUCAGCCCUGAAUUGUGAGCACUGCACAAGGAGGUGUCUUGGAUCAUCCCUGAGGUGGGAGCACUGCACCAGGAGGUGUCUUCAAUCAUCCCUGAGGUGUGAGCACUGCACCAGGAGAUGUCUUGGAUCAUCCCUGAGGUAGGAUCACUACACCAGGAGGUUUCUUGGAUCAUUUCUGAAGUGUGAGCACUGCACCACAAGGUGUCUUGAAUCAUCCCUGAGGUAGGACCACUACACUAGGAGAUGUCUUGGGUCAUCCCUGAGGUGUGAGCACUGUACCAGGAGGUGUCUUGGAUCAUCCCUGAGGUGCAGUGAUAUGGUUUGGUCAUGUCCCCACCCAAAUCUCAUCUUGAAUUGUAGCUCCCAUAAUCCCCACAUGUCAUAGAAGGGACCCUGUGGGAGGUAACUGAAUCAUGGAGGGAGUUACCUCCAUGCUGUUUUCAUGACAGUGAGUUAGUUUUCAGAUCUGAUGGUUUUAUAAGGAGCUUUUCCCCCAUUUACUUGGCACUUCUCCUUCCUGCCAUCCUGUAAAGAAGGAUGUGUUUACUUCCUUCCACUUUGAUUGUAAGUUGUUUGAGGCCUCCUCAGCACCACAGAACUAUGAGUCAUUUAAACCUUCUUUCUUUAUAAAUUACCCAGUCUUGGGCAGUUCUUUAUAGCAGUGUGAGAUCAGACUAAUAAACACCCCCAUGAUUCAAUUACCUCCCACCAGGUCCCUCCCAUGACACAUGGGGAUUAUGAGAACUACAAUUCAAGAUGAGAUUUGGGUGGGACACAGCCAAAACAUGUUAUUUCAUUCAUGGUCCCUUUAAAAUAUGUCCUCACAUUUCAAAACACAAUUACGUACUUCCAACAGUCCCCCAAAGUCUUAAUUCAUUCCAUCAUUAUCCCCAAAGUCCAAAUCUAAAGUCUCAUCUGAGACAAGGCAAAUUCCUUCUGCCUAUGAGCCUGUAAAAUCAAAAGUGAGUUAAUUACUUCCAAGAUACAAUGGAGAUACAGGCAUUGGACAAAUACACCCAUUCCAAAUGAGAGAAAUUGGCCAAAACAAAGAGGCUCCAGGCCCCACUCAAGUCCAAAAUCCAACAGGGCAGUAACCAAACCUUAAAGUUCCAGAAUAAUCUCCUUCAACUCCAUGUCUCACAUCAGGUCACGCUGAUGCAAGAGGUGGGCUCCCAUGGCCUUGGACUGCUUCACCCCUGUGGCUUUGCUUUCACAAGAUGGCAUUGGGUGUCUGAGGCAUUUCCAGGUGCACAGUGCAAGCUGUCAGCGGAUCUACCAUUCUGGGGUCUGAAGGAUGGUGGCCCUCCUCUCACAGUUCAACUGGGCAGCACCCCCAUGGGGACUCCCUGUGGGGGCUCCAAUCCCACAUCUCCCUUCUUCAAUGCCCUAGCAGAGGUUCUCCAUGAGGGCUUUGCCCCUACAGCAGACUUCUGCCUGUACAUCCAGGUACUUCCAUACAUCCUCUGAAAUCUAAGCUGAGGUUCCCAAACCUCAAUUCUUGACUCCUGUACACCCACAGGUCCAAGACCACGUGUAAGCCACCAAGGCUUGGGGCUUGCACCCUCUGAAGCAAAAGCCUGAGCUCUAUGUUGGCCCCUUGAGCCACAGCUGGAACUCACUAUCACCAAAUCCCUAUACUACACAAAGCAGCAAGGCCCUAGGCCUACCUAGCCCAUGAAACCCUUUUUUCCUCCUAGGCCUCUGGGCCUGUGAUGGGAGGGGCUGCUGUGAAGAACUCUGACAUGCCCUGGAGACAGUUUCCCCAUUGUCUUGGUGAUUAACAUUUGGCUUUUCGUUACUGAUGCAAAUUUAUCUAGCUGGCUUGAAUUUCUUCUCCAAAAAUGGGUUUUUCUUUUCUAUCACAUCAUCAGGCUGCAAAUUUUCCUAAGUUUUAUGUUCUGGUUCCCUUUUAAACAUAAGUUUUAAUUCCAAACCAUAUCUUU